rnacentral:rRNA from 1 species
GACGAAGGAUGCAAGCGUUAUCCGGAUUCAUUGGGUUUAAAGGGCGCGUAGGUGGCCUGAUAAGUCAGUGGUGAAAUCUCUCGGCUUAACCGAGAAAUUGCCAUUGAUACUGUUAGGCUUGAGUAUAGUUGCCGUUGGCGGAAUAUGACAUGUAGUGGUGAAAUACAUAGAGAUGUCAUAGAACACCGAUUGCGAAGGCAGCUAACGAAACUAUAACUGACACUGAGGCUCGAAAGUGUGGGGAUCAAACAGG